CCUACGGGACGCAGCAGUGGGAAUUUUCGUCAAUGGGCGCAAGCCUGAACGAGCAAUGCCGCGUGAACGAGGAAGGUCUUCGGAUCGUAAAGUUCUGUUGAAGGGGAAAAAGAGCGGAGAGAGGAAAUGGUCUCCGAUUGAUAUUACCCUUCGAGGAAGUCACGGCUAACUACGUGCCAGCAGCCGCGGCAAUACGAAGGUGGCGAGCGUUAUCCGGAUUUAUUGGGGUUAAAGGGUGCGGAGGCGGGCGGGUAAGU
rnacentral:rRNA from 1 species